AUGAAGCCCUUCGGGGUGGAUUAGUGGCGAACGGGUGAGUAACACGUGGGCAAUCUGCCCUUCACUCUGGGACAAGCCCUGGAAACGGGGUCUAAUACCGGAUACGACUGCGGGAGGCAUCUCCUGUGGUGGAAAGCUCCGGCGGUGAAGGAUGAGCCCGCGGCCUAUCAGCUUGUUGGUGAGGUAACGGCUCACCAAGGCGACGACGGGUAGCCGGCCUGAGAGGGCGACCGGCCACACUGGGACUGAGACACGGCCCAGACUCCUACGGGAGGCAGCAGUGGGGAAUAUUGCACAAUGGGCGAAAGCCUGAUGCAGCGACGCCGCGUGAGGGAUGACGGCCUUCGGGUUGUAAACCUCUUUCAGCAGGGAAGAAGCGAAAGUGACGGUACCUGCAGAAGAAGCGCCGGCUAACUACGUGCCAGCAGCCGCGGUAAUACGUAGGGCGCAAGCGUUGUCCGGAAUUAUUGGGCGUAAAGAGCUCGUAGGCGGCUUGUCACGUCGGGUGUGAAAGCCCGGGGCUUAACCCCGGGUCUGCAUCCGAUACGGGCAGGCUAGAGUGUGGUAGGGGAGAUCGGAAUUCCUGGUGUAGCGGUGAAAUGCGCAGAUAUCAGGAGGAACACCGGUGGCGAAGGCGGAUCUCUGGGCCAUUACUGACGCUGAGGAGCGAAAGCGUGGGGAGCGAACAGGAUUAGAUACCCUGGUAGUCCACGCCGUAAACGUUGGGAACUAGGUGUUGGCGACAUUCCACGUCGUCGGUGCCGCAGCUAACGCAUUAAGUUCCCCGCCUGGGGAGUAC
rnacentral:rRNA from 1 species